rnacentral:rRNA from 1 species
UACGUAGGGGGCAAGCGUUGGUCCGGAAUCAUUGGGCGUAAAGAGCGUGUAGGCGGCCAGACAGGUCCGCUGUGAAAACUCGAGGCUCAACCUCGAGAUGUCGGUGGAAACCGUCUGGCUAGAGUCCGGAAGAGGAGAGUGGAAUUCCCGGUGUAGCGGUGAAAUGCGCAGAUAUCAGGAGGAACACCGAUGGCGAAGGCAGGUCUCUGGGCCACUACUGACGCUGAGAAGCGAAAGCGUGGGGAGCGAACAGG